AACAGGAUUAGAUACCCUGGUAGUCCACGCCGUAAACGAUGUCGACUUGGAGGUUGUGCCCUUGAGGCGUGGCUUCCGGAGCUAACGCGUUAAGUCGACCGCCUGGGGAGUACGGCCGCAAGGUUAAAACUCAAAUGAAUUGACGGGGGCCCGCACAAGCGGUGGAGCAUGUGGUUUAAUUCGAUGCAACGCGAAGAACCUUACCUGGUCUUGACAUCCAGAGAAUCCUGCAGAGAUGCGGGAGUGCCUUCGGGAACUCUGAGACAGGUGCUGCAUGGCUGUCGUCAGCUCGUGUUGUGAAAUGUUGGGUUAAGUCCCGCAACGAGCGCAACCCUUAUCCUUUGUUGCCAGCACGUAAUGGUGGGAACUCAAAGGAGACUGCCGGUGAUAAACCGGAGGAAGGUGGGGAUGACGUCAAGUCAUCAUGGCCCUUACGACCAGGGCUACACACGUGCUACAAUGGCGCAUACAAAGAGAAGCGAACUCGCGAGAGCAAGCGGACCUCAUAAAGUGCGUCGUAGUCCGGAUUGGAGUCUGCAACUCGACUCCAUGAAGUCGGAAUCGCUAGUAAUCGUGGAUCAGAAUGCCACGGUGAAUACGUUCCCGGGCCUUGUACACACCGCCCGUCACACCAUGGGAGUGGGUUGCAAAAGAAGUAGGUAGCUUAACCUUCGGGAGGGCGCUUACCACUUUGUGAUUCAUGACUGGGGUGAAGUCGUAACAAGGUAACC
rnacentral:rRNA from 1 species